ACGAACGCUGGCGGCGUGGAUAAGACAUGCAAGUCGAACGGGAGAAUUGCUAGCUUGCUAAUAAUUCUCUAGUGGCGCACGGGUGAGUAACACGUGAGUAACCUGCCUCUUAGUGGGGGAUAGCCCUGGGAAACCGGGAUUAAUACCGCAUACGAUUGAAAGAUCAAAGCAGCAAUGCGCUAGGAGAUGGGCUCGCGGCCUAUUAGUUAGUUGGUGAGGUAACGGCUCACCAAGGCGAUGACGGGUAGCCGGUCUGAGAGGAUGUCCGGCCACACUGGAACUGAGACACGGUCCAGACACCUACGGGUGGCAGCAGUCGAGAAUCAUUCACAAUGGGGGCAACCCUGAUGGUGCGACGCCGCGUGGGGGAAUGAAGGUCUUCGGAUUGUAAACCCCUGUCAUGUGGGAGCAAAUUAAAAAGAUAGUACCACAAGAGGAAGAGACGGCUAACUCUGUGCCAGCAGCCGCGGUAAUACAGAGGUCUCAAGCGUUGUUCGGAAUCACUGGGCGUAAAGCGUGCGUAGGCUGUUUCGUAAGUCGUGUGUGAAAGGCAGGGGCUCAACCCCUGGAUUGCACAUGAUACUGCGAGACUAGAGUAAUGGAGGGGGAACCGGAAUUCUCGGUGUAGCAGUGAAAUGCGUAGAUAUCGAGAGGAACACUCGUGGCGAAGGCGGGUUCCUGGACAUUAACUGACGCUGAGGCACGAAGGCCAGGGGAGCGAAAGGGAUUAGAUACCCCUGUAGUCCUGGCAGUAAACGGUGCACGCUUGGUGUGCGGGGAAUCGACCCCCCGCGUGCCGGAGCUAACGCGUUAAGCGUGCCGCCUGGGGAGUACGGUCGCAAGAUUAAAACUCAAAGAAAUUGACGGGGACCCGCACAAGCGGUGGAGUAUGUGGCUUAAUUCGAUGCAACGCGAAGAACCUUACCUGGGCUUGACAUGUAAUGAACAACAUGUGAAAGCAUGCGACUCUUCGGAGGCGUUACACAGGUGCUGCAUGGCCGUCGUCAGCUCGUGUCGUGAGAUGUUUGGUUAAGUCCAGCAACGAGCGCAACCCCUGUUGCCAGUUACCAGCACGUCAAGGUGGGGACUCUGGCGAGACUGCCCAGAUCAACUGGGAGGAAGGUGGGGACGACGUCAGGUCAGUAUGGCCCUUAUGCCCAGGGCUGCACACGUACUACAAUGCCCAGUACAGAGGGGGCCGAAGCCGCGAGGCGGAGGAAAUCCUGAAAACUGGGCCCAGUUCGGACUGUAGGCUGCAACCCGCCUACACGAAGCCGGAAUCGCUAGUAAUGGCGCAUCAGCUACGGCGCCGUGAAUACGUUCCCGGGUCUUGUACACACCGCCCGUCACAUCAUGGAAGCCGGUCGCACCCGAAGUAUCUGAAGCCAACCGCAAGGAGGCAGGGUCCUAAGGUGAGACUGGUAACUGGGAUG
rnacentral:rRNA from 1 species